GGAUAUGUGCCCCAGGGGUACGGCCCCCACCCCCGGCCGCCCAGCAACAGACCACCGUGGUCAUGGCUCAACCCCAGCCGCAAACUGUCAUCAUACAGAACGAAAGCCGUGACCGCGUGAACCACUGUCUGCACUGCGUCAUCAGCAUCUUCUUCCCGCCGUGGCUCUUCGUCUGGUGCUGUCUGUGCAUGUGCAAAGGUUGCUAAGGUUGAUCGUCGAGUGAACGCUCUCGUCUCCAAUCCUGACAACGCUGGUAUAACAACAUCAAGACGACUGUCUUAAAAGGCAGCGGCUUUGCUCGUGUUUACAGAAGAACUUUAUUGCACGACAAUUGCACAUGGUACAAUGUAUGGCAAACUACAUAAAGAGAGU